GGCAGAGCACAUUGCCAGAGCAUGAAGAAGUGACGCACAAGUCGCCGCUGAUGCUGGGACGCACAUGGCUCCCACCGGGGAUUAGGAGCAUUUGUGAACUCUGUGAGCAAGGAGACAUCAGAAGAGGGGCUUCUGUUAAAAAAAAAAAAAAAAAAAAGGACCUAAAAAUGCAGUGAUAUUUAUUCCUAUUUAUUUUGCAUUCAACCUGAGUCAUAGCCUGGAUUGAUCAAUUUGUAAUUUCUUUCUUCUGACAACUCUCACACAGUUGCACAGCCAAAGUGGAUUAUACGAAUGGAAAGCAUCAGUGUGGAAACGGACUGGGAUGCUUUGGCCCUCUCCUCUCUGGUCGUGACGGGAAACAGCAACCACUCUUCCUCAUCUUUGUUUGACCUCAACACUCUCAACGGCUCCCACAGUGGAGGAUCCUUCUUUGGGAUCUUUCCGGAGAAUGCCUCAAACACCACCCCUUACCCAUUGCCCCAGCCAAGGGUACGCGACCAAGGCCUGGCCCAGGCAGAGAUCGCUGUUCUAGGGGUGGUGCUGGCUCUAACCACGCUGGGAAAUAGCUUCGUCCUGUGGGUAUUGCUCCGUAGAAGGAAGCACAAUGCACCAAUGCACGUGUUCAUGGUCAACUUGUGUGUGGCUGACCUGGUGGUGGCCUUCUUUCAGGUUCUUCCCCAACUCAUUUGGGACAUCACUGACAAGUUUCAGGGACCCGAUUUCCUGUGCCGUUCCAUUAAGUACUUGCAGAUUGUGGGCAUGUUUGCUUCCUCCUACAUGAUAGUUGCCAUGACAGUGGACCGGCACCAUGCCAUCUGCUGCCCGUUGCAGGCUUACCGUAGCGGGGCGGUUUCCCGCUGGAACACCCCGGUCAUGGUGGCUUGGGGAUUGGCGCUAGUUCUCAGCCUACCGCAGGUGUUCAUCUUCUCACGAUCAGAAGUGAGUCCUGGUGAGUUUGAGUGCUGGGGUCACUUUGCAGAGGUGUGGGGGCUCAAGGCGUACAUCACCUGGAUGACAGUGGCUGUAUUUCUCCUGCCUGCCCUCAUCAUCACCAUCUGUCAGAUAAGAAUCUUCCGGGAGAUCCACAAUAACAUCUACCUGAAGUCAGAGAGGAUGGUGAUGGCUGAGCUAAAGAGGAAUGAAAUCCUCUUUCACUUUCACAGCUUUAAGAAGGAAGAGGAUCGGGCCAGAGAGAGGGGUCGAAGGUCAUCCAGUGGCAGCGCUCGGGCAGGGCUGCACUUGAAGCCCAUCAACGACAAACCUCACAUAAACACCUAUAAUAAAAUUCAAAUGACAGAUACAGCAGCUUCAACCGCAGUUUCUGCGGAUGUGCAGCAAGUGAAUGGUCCUGACUGUCAGGAGUCCUGCACAUCCUGCCAGGUGACCUCAGGUUCACCUCGUUGCUCCCUCGAUUACGCCCCCCCUCACCCCACAGUGGCGCCACCGCCAAGCAUCACCAAAGCAAUGUCCAAAACGGUCCGAAUGACUCUGGUCAUUGUGCUGGUCUACACUGUAUGCUGGUCCCCUUUUUUCAUUGUCCAGCUGUGGGCCGCCUGGGACCCCAACCCUCCCAAUCAAGGUCAGUAUCACACACAUUUCAAGGGCUAUGUAGAUUUGCUUACGUUCUUCGAUAUGGCUUGAUUUGAAAUGGUCUACAACUGAUGUUGUUGAUAUUUUGAAAUCAUUUGGCAAUUGAUAAUUGAAUGUGCUCCUUAGCGUAAAGAUAAUGUGCAUGAUUUAUAGCUAUUGUGCUGACUUUGUCGUGGGAUCUUAAGCUAAAGUCAAACCACAGAAGUCAGUAAAUAACCUGUUUGUAUUCCUUACGUAUUUUGCAACCUGACAAGAUGUUGACAUUUUGUCAACAAUGAUCUACGGUAGGAGCAUGUACACAGUCAAAUUUAUAGUUGGACACAUAGAGGGCAUUGUGUUCUCAUGCACAGCUCACCUAUAUUUUACAAGUGACCUUUGCCUUAAACGAGAAAAUGUAAUCUUAAUGAAUCUAACACAAAAAACUACACAUAGGGCUGAUUUUUAUGGCAAUGUAAUCUCAAACCAGUUUUUCCGUCAUUUGUUGUCUCCAAGCUUGUUUGGGUUCUGACGUAAUACUUAUUAUUAGUUCCAAAAUGCAACAGGAUGUUGCCCAUCUGGAAAGUUUACAAUCCUAUAGGGAAAAGUGAAUUACAAUGCUGAAAGGUUUUCAGUACGAGUUGAACUGACAGGUCAAUGAGUCUAGAGUACUUUAGAGCAGGGGUCUCCAAACCUGUCCUUAUGGGCGGCUGUGGGUCCUGGUUUUUGUUCCAAGUGAUCCAGUACAGAAAGUUGAAACAAUGGGGUUCACCUGACUGGCACCUGACUGCAAUCAACUGAUUAUACUUCUAAAACAUCAGAUUGGUGAACAGGGGUUGUCUUGCUUGGUUUGAAUGAAAUCCUGCACCCACUACAGCCCUAGUGCAGAGUCCGGAUUUAGUGAACCCUGGCCUAGAGUCCCUUAGUCUCCCUGAGUAAAUGCAUUCAUCAAAUCAAUGAAUGGAUGUGCCAGAAUUUUCUCCAGUUAAAUGUGGAGAAGACAGAGGUGAUCAUUUUUGGGCCAAAAAAGGAAAGGUCAAAGAUAAGGAGGCAACUUAGCUCAAUGUCACUUACAGCUACAAAUCAAGUCAGAAACCUUGGCGUAAUUAUUGACUCAGACCUAAAAUUUGAUAGCCAUCUAAAGUCCGUCACUAAAUCCGCUUAUUACCACCUAAAAAAUAAAACCCGAAUUAAGGGGCUUCUGAUUCAACAAGAAAUGGAAAAACUUAUGCAUGAAUUCAUUUUCAGCUGAUUGGACUAU